UACGGAGGGAGCUAGCGUUGUUCGGAAUUACUGGGCGUAAAGCGCACGUAGGCGGCUUUGUAAGAUUAGAGGUGAAAGCCCAGGUGCUCAACACUGGAACUGCCUUUAAAACUGCAUCGCUUGAAUCCAGGAGAGGUGAGUGGAAUUACCCAGUGUAGCGGUGAAAUGCGUAGAUAUUGGGAGGAACACCAGUGGCGAAGGCGGCUCACUGGACUGGGUACU
rnacentral:rRNA from 1 species